UCGGGAAAGUUUCCAUUUAUG
rnacentral:piRNA from 1 species